AGUGAACGCUGGCGGUAGGCCUAACACAUGCAAGUCGAACGGCAGCACAGUAAGAGCUUGCUCUUACGGGUGGCGAGUGGCGGACGGGUGAGGAAUACAUCGGAAUCUACUUUUUCGUGGGGGAUAACGUAGGGAAACUUACGCUAAUACCGCAUACGACCUACGGGUGAAAGCAGGGGAUCUUCGGACCUUGCGCGAUUGAAUGAGCCGAUGUGGGAUUAGCUAGUUGGCGGGGUAAAGGCCCACCAAGGCGACGAUCCGUAGCUGGUCUGAGAGGAUGAUCAGCCACACUGGAACUGAGACACGGACAAGACUCCUACGGGAGGCAGCAGUGGGGAAUAUUGGACAAUGGGCGCAAGCCUGAUCCAGCCAUACCGCGUGGGUGAAGAAGGCGUUCGGGUUGUAAAGCCCUUUUGUUGGGAAAGAAAAGCAGCAGGUUAAUACCCCGCUGUUCUGACGGUACCCAAAGAAUAAGCACCGGCUAACUUCGUG
rnacentral:rRNA from 1 species